rnacentral:misc_RNA from 1 species
GGACAAAGGAGAAAAGACUACAGAAAGCCGCUUAUAGACGGCCACUAGAACUCAUCAUCUUCUUCUCUAGCCGGCUUUCCUCUGUAUCUCCCAUUAAAGAAAAGCUCUCUCUUUUGCUUUCCUUUUAAACCCCUCUCAUUGGAUACAUGACCUAGUCCUUCCCUUUUCAUCAUUCUCUUCAAAACUGCUUCUUUUCUUCACAUUUUUUUUAAUGGCGAAAAUCUCCAAGCAAAGCCAAAGGAAUAACACUGCUGCAAACACUAGCACAAACCCUUCUACAACCAAGACUAAGCGGACUAGAAAAACUGUGCCUAGAGACUCUCCUCCUCAGCGCAGCUCCAUCUACCGUGGUGUUACAAGGCACCGAUGGACGGGACGUUAUGAAGCUCAUUUGUGGGAUAAGAAUUGCUGGAACGAAUCACAGAACAAGAAAGGAAGACAAGUAUAUCUAGGUGAGUUUGGUAUCUCUAAUUCUGACUUUUUUUGUGUGUUUUAUUUCCUUGUUUUUUUAAUCUUUAUGUCAUUUUCAAAUUCUUAAAGUUGAAAACUGAAAACCCAUUUUUUUAUUUUUAAAAAAGUAUAUAUUUUCUUUUUAAUUAUAGUUUUUGAACGGUUCUGGUGUUAAAUAUGAAUGUUUUAUUAAAUUUGUGUGAGUGGGUGUGGUAGGGGCAUAUGAUGAUGAAGAAGCUGCUGCACAUGCCUAUGACUUGGCAGCAUUAAAGUACUGGGGACAGGACACCAUCCUUAAUUUCCCUUUGUCAACUUAUCAAGGAGAGCUCAAAGAUAUGGAGGGUCAGUCGAAAGAAGAAUAUAUUGGAUCCCUCAGAAGGAAGAGCAGUGGAUUUUCUCGUGGGGUGUCCAAGUAUAGAGGCGUAGCAAGGUACCCUAAUUACUUUGUUAUACAAAUUCCUUUUCUUAAUGCAUGCAAAUGGAAAUUUAUAUUGAAUAUUUAUAUAAAUAUGCAAUAACUCAAUCAGAGAAAAAAAAUGUAUAAGUUUUAGAUUAGUGAUAUUGAGUUCAUUUCGAGAAUUAUGAAGUUUUGCAUUCAAACUCCAAUCAAAAUUAAUUAUAUAAAAAAUUAAAAAAAAGGCAAAAAAUGUGAUCCACGAAAUAUAUGAUGAAAUGCAAAUACAACUGCUAACUUGUUUUGCAUUAUGUAAAUAUUUUUUUUGUGGAGAAAUUAUAAAUUAUUCAAUUUCUCUUUAAUGGUGGUACCAUCAAUUAUGUGGUUUAAAACAGGCCAAAAAGUAAAUUUGGAUGAAUCUUUUAUGAGGCCUUCUAAAGCUGGUCGCAUUUACGAAUUUCCCACAUCUAAUAGUUCUUGUUGAUAAAAAGUUAUAAAGGAAUUCAUGCAAGCGUCUGAAUCCUUUAGUUGAUAAUGGCAUUGACAUAUUAGUCCAAAUUUUGUGUAGACACCAUCAUAAUGGAAGAUGGGAGGCUCGAAUUGGCAGAGUUUUUGGCAACAAAUAUCUCUAUCUUGGAACUUACGCCACUCAAGAAGAGGCAGCCACAGCUUAUGAUAUGGCAGCUAUAGAGUACCGUGGGCUUAAUGCUGUUACGAACUUUGACCUUAGUCGUUACAUCAAAUGGCUACGUCCAGAUACCCAAAAUGACCCUUGUCAAGAGACCAACACUGGUAGUGAUGCUAAUUUCAUUGCAAACCCUACUCAAGACCUUGGAUUAAGUUUCACAUCCCAUCAACAAAGCUCAAGUCCGACGGAAAACACCAUGCCUGAUCCGCCACGGCCUUGUGGUGGCUCCGCAUCAUCUGCAUUAGGGCUUCUUUUGCAAUCCACGAAGUUUAAGGAAAUGUUAGAUAGAACAUCUCCGAAUGAUUGCCCUUUGACACCACCGGAGUCUGAACCGCCACGUCGGAGCUUCCCAGAUGACAUUCAGACUUACUUCGAUUGCCAAGACGCCUGUAGCUUUGCAGAGGGCGACGACAUUAUCUUCGGAGAGCUAAAUGCAUUUGCCUCACCCAUUUUUCACUGCGAACUUGAUUGUUAAAGAAGGACUCUUGGCUCAAUAAGGCUACCUUUGCGGUAUAAAAAUAUUUGAGGGUUCUGUGAAUAUGGAGGUAAGGAUUAUUGCAGGAGAGAUGAUGACGAACAAGAGCAAGAAAAUUGACAAUUUACAAUUAUUCUUUUCUUUAAUGAGAUACAUGCUCUCAAAAAAAAUUUUAGUAUAAUAGUUUCAGAUCGGAACUCCAACUUGAUAUUUCAUUGAACUUCAAUACCAUUAAAUUAAAAUUCCAUUGAAUCCUAAAUUCCUUUUGAUUCACUAUUUAGAACUACUAACAUCAGCUAAAAGUACCCAUUAUUAGCAUUUUUAUUUUCAAAGCAAAAGACAGAGAUUUUG